GAUAAGUAAUGUGAAUUGCAGAAUUCAGUGAAUCAUCGAAUCUUUGAACGCACCUUGCGCUCCUHGGUAUUCCGAGGAGCAUGCCUGUWUGAGUGUCGU
rnacentral:rRNA from 1 species